rnacentral:rRNA from 1 species
UACGAGGGGUGCAAGCGUUGCUCGGAAUUAUUGGGCGUAAAGGGCAGGUAGGUGGUCUUAUUUGUCUGAUGUGAAAGCCUUGGGCUUAACCCAAGAAGUGCGUCAGAAACGGUGAGACUAGAGUAUCGGAGAGGCGAGUGGAAUUCCACGUGUAGCGGUGAAAUGCGUAGAGAUGUGGAGGAACACCAGUGGCGAAGGCGACUCUUUGGCCUGUAACUGACGCUGAGGCGCGAAAGCGUGGGGAGCAAACAGG